CCUACGGGAGGCUGCAGUGGGGAAUAUUGGACAAUGGGGGGAACCCUGAUCCAGCCAUGCCGCGUGUGUGAAGAAGGCCCUCGGGUUGUAAAGCACUUUCAGUGAGGAAGAACGCCUGGUGGUUAAUACCCAUCAGGAAAGACAUCACUCACAGAAGAAGCACCGGCUAACUCCGUGCCAGCAGCCGCGGUAAUACGGAGGGUGCGAGCGUUAAUCGGAAUUACUGGGCGUAAAGCGCGCGUAGGUGGCUUGAUAAGCCGGUUGUGAAAGCCCCGGGCUCAACCUGGGAACGGCAUCCGGAACUGUCAAGCUAGAGUGCAGGAGAGGAAGGUAGAAUUCCCGGUGUAGCGGUGAAAUGCGUAGAGAUCGGGAGGAAUACCAGUGGCGAAGACGGCCUUCUGGACUGACACUGACACUGAGGUGCGAAAGCGUGGGUAGCAAACAGGAUUAGAUACCCUAGUAGUC
rnacentral:rRNA from 1 species